GCCGCUGCUACCCUCGUAAUCGACGUAUUGGCGACCUCCCUAGGAAGAGGGUGGAAACCCGCGCUGAUAAAGGCGGCCGGUUCGAUUCCGGCCGCGGCACCA
rnacentral:tRNA from 1 species